GAUGAACGCUGGCGGCGUGCUUAACACAUGCAAGUCGAACGGAAAGGCCCUGCUUUUGUGGGGUGCUCGAGUGGCGAACGGGUGAGUAACACGUGAGUAACCUGCUCUUGACUUUGGGAUAACUUCAGGAAACUGGGGCUAAUAUCGGAUAGGAGCCCCUGCUGCAUGGUGGGGGUUGGAAAGUUUCGGCGGUUGGGGAUGGACUCGCGGCUUACCAGCUUGUUGGUGGGGUAGUGGCUUACCAAGGCUUUGACGGGUAGGCGGCCUGAGAGGGUGACCGGCCACAAUAGGACUGAGAGACGGCGCAGUCUCGAACGGGAGGCAACAGUGGGGAGUAUUGCACAGUGAGCGGAAGCCUGAGACAGCAGCGCCGCGUGCGGGAUGACGGCCUUCGGGUUAUGAACCGCUUUCGCCUGAGACGAAGCGUGAGUGACGGUAAUGAAUAAAGAAGCACCGGCUAACUACGUG
rnacentral:rRNA from 1 species